UCCCAGGACCCUGAGAUCAUGACCUGAGCCAAAAUCAAGAGUCAGAUGCUCAACCAACUGAGCCACCCAGACCCCCAGAGAAGCUGACGUUUGAACUGACGUCUGAAAGACAUUGGUGCUCCUGGGUCUUGGGCUUUGACUCAGACCGGGACUUAAUCAUUGGUGCCCCGUCUCAAGCCUUCAGACUUGGAGUGCCUUACACCACUGCCUUACCUGGUUCUCCAGCUUGCAAAGGGCACAUCAUGGGACUUCUCAGCCUACGUAAUCACGCAAUCAUGAAUGAUGGCCAAGCUGUAUUAGACCACAGUCCAGAGAAAUCCCAGCCAGAUGGACAAUAGAGCAUGCGGAUCCAAGAUGACUCUGACGUUGAGUGUCCACACCUCCCAAUCUCCACACGUCCCCUCCUGUCCUUGGUAAAUUCCUCCUGGAAGAAUUGUUAUUGCAUCCUUCCCACCCUCCUCCUGCCAAAAACUGAAACAAACCAAAAAAUCAGGUGGGGGACAAGUAGAGAUAAGACCAGAGCAAAGCGCAGUAACGUGGGUCAAGAAACAGAACCGAGAGUUUUCUUUUUUCUAUUAUUUUGGUGUGUCUGGUUUGAGCUGAGGAGGAAGAGCCUGCUGAGGUCGGAGGAAAACACCUUGCCAGUGUGAUAAACCCCACAUGUGGGCAUGGGAAAGGGGACACAAAUAAACUCUGCUUUCUCCUUGAGUUUGAUUCCUUUUAGCAAACCCAAUUUGCUGAAUGGAGGUGGGGAGGGUGGGGGAGAGAGUGGUACAAUUUUGUUACCUGGACAUUUUAUUUUUUAAAAAAGGUUUUGGAUAAAGCUACUAAGAGAAUCCAUGGACGAAUGGAUGAACAGAGUGUGGUAUAUCCCCAUAAUGGAAUAUUAUUCA